GACGAACGCUGGCGGCGUGCUUAACACAUGCAAGUCGAACGGAAAGGCCCUGCUUGCAGGGUACUCGAGUGGCGAACGGGUGAGUAACACGUGGGUGAUCUGCCCUGCACUUCGGGAUAAGCUUGGGAAGCUGGGUCUAAUACCGGAUAGGAACCAUCUUUAGUGUGGUGGUUGGAAAGUUUUUUCGGUGUAGGAUGAGCUCGCGGCCUAUCAGCUUGUUGGUGGGGUAAUGGCCUACCAAGGCGGCGACGGGUAGCCGGCCUGAGAGGGUGUACGGCCACAUUGGGACUGAGAUACGGCCCAGACUCCUACGGGAGGCAGCAGUGGGGAAUAUUGCACAAUGGGCGCAAGCCUGAUGCAGCGACGCCGCGUGGGGGAUGAAGGCCUUCGGGCUGUAAACUCCUUUCGCUAGGGACGAAGCUUUUUGUGACGGUACCUAGAUAAGAAGCACCGGCUAACUACGUG
rnacentral:rRNA from 1 species